CACUUGUGGUCACAUUCCAUCGGCUGAACACUCACAUGGCCUGAACUAACCCACUGCAAGGGGACAGGAAGGUGCAUAACAGCAGAGGAAAUGUUCUCUCACCUCUCCCUCCUUUUCUCUGAAAUUCCCAUCCUCAAAAGGAGCCACAGGACCAAGUUUAGCUGGACCGGCAGGGAAGUUCACUAAGCUGAAACACUUCACUUUUAAAAAUGUUGCCCCAUAGACACAUAGGGGCACAUCCUAAGACAUCAGCUGUGGCGGCUUCUUGAAGUGGUUUGCGGUGCCAGGCAGGCUCAAACCAGCCCUCCUACUGCUGCCAAAGUUAACUUGCUCAUGAAGCUUUAAUAGUGAAAUGCAUCAUAGAUUGGAAACUAAAAGUAUAUACAGACUCUGGAGCCAGACUUCCUGGGAUCAAAUUCUAAGCCUCGCUUCCUAUAAGCUAUGUGUCCGAUUGGAAACAGAAACCCUCCUGGAAAGAAGGAUGUCACUGAGCAUGCCAGGGACGGAUUUUCUCUUGCAAUUUACCAGAGCAUCAAGGCUGGAAAAGAUGAUGCGCAAGGUAAGUCUUUUAAAAAAAUUAUUUAUUUUAUUUUAUUGAUGGACUUUA
rnacentral:lncRNA from 1 species